UCUCUCACUCUGUUUCCAGUUCCCCCGAGAAUAAAAGCCCUCAUCUUUCUCUCACCCUGUAUCCAGUUUCCCCGAUAAUAAAAGCCCUCAUCUUUCUCUCCUCUUGGCGGCGACUUCAUCUCCGUUUCUCCCAUUUCCGGCGAGUCUCUCCGCACUCCAUCUCAUCUUCUCCUUAAUCAACUUAGUUGUCUUUCUCCGCAGCUCCGUCUGUCAAGGGAUUGGUGUUGGUGUGCCUGCUUUCUAACUGCGUUCAUUUUCUGCCUUGCUUGUUGCAUGCUUGCUGCAGGAGCCAAAACACCACCUAAAAUAUGACUCUUGUGGCGACUCACUGUGUUGCUGCAGUUCCAACAUACCCAAUCUAUAAGCAUCAAAAUAAACCUCCUCGGUCUUUCUCUCUGCGCAUCUUAUCAAAAUUGAAUCAAGUUUCAGAUGUUAAAACUCCGCAGUCCACCUCUUAUACUGUCGAGCCAAUGAGAGAGUGUGAGUGCUUCAAUAUGUAUAAGCAACAGGUUCCUUAUAGUCAGGCAUGGGCUUGGCAGAAGAGCAUAGUUGAGGAGAAAAAAGCUAUGAUAGAAAAGAAUGAUCAUUGCCCAGACUCAUUGUUCGUUCUUCAGCAUUGUCCUGUGUAUACCUUGGGAACUGCUAGUUCAGAACAGUUCCUUAAUUUUGAUAUCAAGGACCCACCUUUCGACGUUUAUCGAACUGAACGUGGCGGCGAGGUUACAUAUCAUGGUCCGGGUCAGAUAGUUAUGUACCCUAUUAUGAAUCUACGAAAUCACAAGAUGGAUCUUCAUUGGUACCUCAGGUCACUUGAGGAGGUGAUCAUCCGUGCUCUAUCAAAGACAUUCUGUAUCAAGGCAUCUCGGCUUGAGGGCCUCACUGGUGUUUGGCAUGGAAACCAGAAACUGGCAGCCAUUGGAAUACGAGUCAACCAGUGGAUAACAUAUCAUGGCUUAGCAGUGAAUGUGAACCCAGACUUGACCCCCUUUCGUUGGAUCGUACCUUGUGGGUUACAAGGCUAUCAGGUUGGAAGCGUUAAAAGCUUGCUUGAGGAAUUUCAUACAUCUGCAGACUGUGGAAGAGCAGAUCUACCUGAUCCCAAUGAUGGUCAGCUACUUGAUAUUACUUGUAGAUCUUUGAUCAAUGAGUUUUCUGAAGUUUUUGAGGUUAGAAUCAAUUAUGAAACCAUGUCAAGGUUGGAUUUACAAGCCGUCUGAAUCUGAAAGUGAAACUAAUUUAGUUGAGGCUACAUUUCUAAAUCCUUUGUCGAUUUGAAAUGGACAUGGCUGUCGAUGCUCUCUGAGUGUUUUAAAGAGUCCCGUGACAACAGCAACCGAACAUUAGAGCAGGAUUACGUAUCGCUACUUUUACAUCCUUAGAAGUCACAACCUUGCAUACUCUCCUGAGUAUUAUAUGGAUAGCAUUCAAUUCCCAAUGGAGGUUCUUAAGCGUACUUGGAUUGAAAUUGGUGAAAGCUCUAUUCAUAAUCCUUCAUGGUGGGCGAUCUGGAAAAACCAAAAAAGAAGCUUGCGGUAUCCCCCCCCCCAGGAUUGCGUAACCUUUCCUCCGCCUGAACUUUUCUGUUACCAAAGAAAAAAAAAAAAAAAGGUAUAGAGCCUUGAUAAGUAUAUGACAUAUCCCCAGUUUUCCCUUCAAUUUUCCAUAGCUAUUUUAAUA